rnacentral:rRNA from 1 species
GACGAACGCUGGCGGCGUGCCUAAUACAUGCAAGUCGAGCGAAGUUUUUCUGGUGCUUGCACUAGAAAAACUUAGCGGCGAACGGGUGAGUAAUACGUAAAAAACCUGCCUCAUAGACUGGGACAACUAUUGGAAACGAUAGUUAAUACCGGAUAACAGUAUUUCUCGCAUGGGAGAUAUUUAAAAGUUGGUUAUGCUAACACUAUGAGAUGGCUUUGCGGUGCAUUAGCUAGUUGGUGGGGUAAAGGCCCACCAAGGCGACGAUGCAUAGCCGACCGUAGAGGGUGGUAGGCCACACUGGGACUGAGACAGGGCCCAGACGCCUACGGGAGGCAGCAGUAGGCAAUCGUCCGCAAUGGGCGAAAGCCUGACGGAGCAACGCCGCGUGAGAGAAGAAGGAUUUCGGUUCGUAAAGCUCUGUUGUUAGGGAAGAAUGGAUAUGUAGUAACUAUACAUGUAAGAGACGGUACCUAACCAGAAAGCCACGGCUAACUACGUG